rnacentral:rRNA from 1 species
GGUUGACCUCGGAUCAGGUAGGAAUACCCGCUGAACUUAAGCAUAUCAAUAAGCGGAGGAAAAGAAACCAACAGGGAUUGCCCUAGUAACGGCGAGUGAAGCGGCAACAGCUCAAAUUUGAAAUCUGGCCCCCGGGUCCGAGUUGUAAUUUGUAGAGGAUGCUUUUGGUGAGGUACCUUCCGAGUUCCCUGGAACGGGACGCCAUAGAGGGUGAGAGCCCCGUCUGGUCGGAUACCGAUCCUCUGUAAAGCUCCUUCGACGAGUCGAGUAGUUUGGGAAUGCUGCUCUAAAUGGGAGGUAUAUGUCUUCUAAAGCUAAAUAUAGGCCAGAGACCGAUAGCGCACAAGUAGAGUGAUCGAAAGAUGAAAAGCACUUUGAAAAGAGGGUUAAACAGUACGUGAAAUUGUUGAAAGGGAAGCGCUUGUGACCAGACUUGGGCCCGGUUAAUCAUCCAGCGUUCUCGCUGGUGCACUUGGCCGGCCCAGGCCAGCAUCAGUUCGGCGUGGGGGAUAAAGGCGGCGGGAAUGUGGCUCCUCCGGGAGUGUUAUAGCCCACCGUGUAAUACCCUGUGCUGGACUGAGGUUCGCGCAUUCGCAAGGAUGCUGGCGUAAUGGUCAUUAGCGACCCGUCUU